rnacentral:tRNA from 1 species
GCCUGGGUGGCUCAGUCGGUUGAGCAUCCGCCUUCAGCGCAGGUCAUGCUCUCAGAGCUUGUGGGUUCGAGCCCUGCGUCAGGCU